rnacentral:rRNA from 1 species
AUUGAACGCUGGCGGCAUGCCUUACACAUGCAAGUCGAACGGUAACAGGUCUUCGGAUGCUGACGAGUGGCGAACGGGCGAGUAAUCCAUCGGAACGUGCCUAGCAGUGGGGGAUAACUAGUCACAUGAGUGGCUAUUACCGCAUGAGAUCUACGGAUGAAAGCAGGGGAUCGCAAGAACUAUUGCGACUAGAGCGGAGGAUGGCAGAGUAGUUAGUUGGUGGGAUAAAAGCUUACCAAGCCGACGAUCUGUAGCUGGUCUGAGAGGACGAUCAGCCACACUGGGACUGAGACACGGCCCAGACUCCUACGGGAGGCAGCAGUGGGGAAUUUUGGACAAUGGGCGAAAGCCUGAUCCAGCAAUGCCGCGUGCAGGAUGAAGGCCUUCGGGUUGUAAACUGCUUUUGUACGGAACGAAAAGCCCCGGGUUAAUACCCUGGGGUCAUGACGGUACCGUAAGAAUAAGCACCGGCUAACUACGUGCCAGCCGCCGCCGUAA